CCUACGGGAGGCAGCAGUAGGGAAUCUUCCACAAUGGGCGAAAGCCUGAUGGAGCAACGCCGCGUGGGUGAAGAAGGUCUUCGGAUCGUAAAACCCUGUUGUUAGAGAAGAAAGUGCGUGAAAGUAACUGUUCACGUUUCGACGGUAUCUAACCAGAAAGCCACGGCUAACUACGUGCCAGCAGCCGCGGUAAUACGUAGGUGGCAAGCGUUAUCCGGAUUUGUUGGGCGUAAAGGGAACGCAGGCGGUCUUUUAAGUCUGAUGUGAAAGCCUUCGGCUUAACCGGAGUAGUGCAUUGGAAACUGGGAGACUUGAGUGCAGGAGAGGAGAGUGGAAUUCUAGGUGUAGCGGUGAAAUGCGGAGAGAUAGGGAAGAACACCAGUGGCGAAAGCGGCUCUCUGGUCCGUAACUGACGCUGAGGUUCGAAAGCGUGGGUAGCAAACAGGAUUAGAUACCCCAGUAGUC
rnacentral:rRNA from 1 species